GAGUGUUUUAGUCGUGAGGAAUGUGACAGUAGUAUUCUGUUCCAACAGCAAAAAAUGGAUUUGCACUAGUGGCUUUUCUUUUUAGUUGUGUAUGGACAGAAUGCUUUUAUUUUGUUUAUUUUUAUGUGGUGCUGAGGAUCAGACCCAGUGCCUCAGACAUACUAGGCCAGUGCUCUGCCACUGAGCUGCAGCCCCAGCCCCUGCACUAGUGGCUUUUUGAGAUUGGCAGUGCUCAUACCCACUGGAGCCCAAGGCCUAGCCUCUGCCCCUGUGUCCUGAUGUGACUAGCCCUCUUGGCUUACUGCAGAACUUUGUGACUGGCCCUGGUCUGGGCUUCAUGGAACACCCUGGUGUUGGGGAUUAAAGACCUGGUGGCUGCUAUGGCUUCCUCUGGGCCCUUGCUCCAAGUUCAGGGAGCUCCUGGUGGCAACUGGGAGACUGUGUGUGGGAGGGAGGUAUGGAGAGCAGGCUAGAGGCCAGGAAGUGUAUGGGGGCACAGGAAAUGGGCAGUAAGCCCCAGGAGGUGAUGUGGAGCUGUGGACAGCCUGGGGAGCUUUAGGAGCCUGUGUCAUUUGUCUGUGGAGGAACUCUGGGGACCUGCUCUUGCCUGGUGGGUAGGAAAGGCAGCCAGUCCAGGAAACUUCCUGGAGCUUGAGGAGGGUCCAUGUAGGCUUGGAGUAGUGGACCUGACAUCUGGGUGCUCUUUUCCCCUGUCCCCAGGGAACCCCUGGAAGAAACCUCUGGGAGACCAUUUCUGGCUGGAUUAUUUCCCCUUUUACUUGCAGGCUUUGGUCUGGGCCCCCAGGGGUAGCAUGAUCUGAUAGGGUCCCUGUCCUUGUCGAAGGUGGGGGUGAAGAUGGACAAGCCAACCCACAUACAAGUGAAUACAAUUGCUGGCUGGACAGAGGCUAUUGGGGGAACCCAGAAGGGCUGCUGUUAGCAGCUUCUGGCAGCUUCCAGGGGACUCACUAAGGUCCCAAGGACAAAGAGUGGCCUUAGCCAGAGGGAGAGGGGUUAGGGUGAAGGUCCAUGGUGCGAUGUAGGGGUGUUCCAGGAGAGAGAGGUGGGGUAUGUGCAUGCUGAAUGAAGCUAACACCCAGCCAAAGGCCGAGGGUAAGGCAGGAAGUGCUGGGGUCCCCUAGGGCUCAGGUGAGACCCAGACAUCCAAGGGACCCAAGGGAAAAAAGUCCUUUAGGUUUUCAGAGCUUGGUGGCAACCCUGACGACUGACUGGCUAGAGGAAAGCAAUCCCUGACCCAUACCAGAGCCACGGAAGUGAGUUCAUGUCCUAACCUCCUUAGAUCCAUCCCAGCUCAACUGAGGCCUGACAGAGCCCAGGGCUGCGGUGCAGUGUUCCCGGGUGCACUACACAAGACAGCAGCCACUGGCCAUGUGGAACUAAAGUAAAAAAGCAAACCACGUUCCAACCUCAGUGAUACCUGGGUUUGGCAGCAGAGCUGGACAGUCUGCCAGAGACCAGGGGUCUCAGCUGGGGCUGAUUUUGCUCCCUGCCACAGGGAAUGGCCCAGUAGGGCCAAGACAAAGAGCUCCUGCCAGACCCAGCCCCCAACUGCAGCAAGCCCUGGCCAUGCAAAGGUGGCCUCAGUGGAACGGACUCCUGCCGAGGCUUUGGGUCAGGUGAGCAUGGACCCCCUGAAGAGGUCAGGCAGUGGCAGGAGUUCUACUAUGCUAGCCCUGGACAAGGUAGAGGUGGCCCACGUUUGUGGAUAUUUGAGGCAGGGGCUGUACUCUCUGAACGGAGAUGGUUCAGGUCUGACAUUAGAGUCUGAGCUAGGAUGCUCAUCCCAAUACUGGAUGCUUGGACCUGACUGGCCCUUGGGCUGGGUGCAGCUCCAGUGUUUGUGGGCAAAGGGGUCCCAGGGUUCCCUGGCCCAGUAUUUCAUUCCCUGGCUCAGGAACAUCCCUCCCUCUGCCUUGGCAUUGUUAGAAGCCCCAUACCCUCCUGAGCUCAGGCAAAUCACAGAGCCCCUGGUGGGUGGGCUUCCCCAAGGUUCUUGGCAUCUGCCCCACUCUCCCACAGGACACCGUCAAUAUGCUCUCUCCUGCGGACAAGAAGAGCUCUGCGCUAGUGGGGACGAUGUGUCCUUUCUGCUGCCCUCGUCUGUGGCAAUGGACAGUGGCCCCCUAGCAGGAUGGCAUCCUUUCCUGCAGACCCUGAAGAGGAGGGACCAGGAGCCUUCCAGGCUUGGCCUGCCUCUUGCACAAAGCAGGGAGGUGCAGCAACCCACAUGGCAGCAAGAAGCUCUUCAGCUCCGUUUACCCUGGGUGAGUGCAAGGGCUCCAUGGAGAGGAGGCAUGCGGGCACAGGGGAGCCCUAGAGUGGUGGAGAGCCAGCUGGGCUUGCAGUCUGGGUGCUCCAGGCUUUGAAGCAAUGGCAGGCACUUGGCCCAGACACUUCCAGACUCGGGUUUUAACCACCAUCCCCAUCAGAGGCUCUCAGCAGGCUUGCUAUCCAACCCUGUCCUGAUCACUUCUUGGAAAUAUCAGAGGCCUGACUGUCCAAGCAGUGGACAGAAUGACCACUGGUGCUGCCCAUCAGCUUCCUGGUCCUCCAUGUGGACUGUGCAUACUGACUGUACAGUAUGAGGAGUUGGGGGAAAGAAUCCUUCAUUGGAGCACUGCCUCUUGAAACGAUGAGGUGGGAAAGGCACUUUGUCUCUGUGAUCUUCCUUCCCUAACAUCCCAAGCCCCAGUCAAAACAGGAGGAAAACAUCAGGCAAAUCCCAGCAGAGGGACAGUGUAAAGACACCUGACCAGUGCUCCUAACUGUGAAGACGAGAACAAUGAAGUCUGAGAAAGCAUGGUCAUGAGGAGACAGGACAGAUAAGUGUCACGUGGGAUCUUGGAUGGGAUCCUGGAGAGAAAAGCAUCUCGGGGAACUUGGAUGAAGUAUGAGCUUUAGUGAUGCACCAACACUGGCCCUAAUGGAAGCUGUUAACAGAAGGGAAACUGGGUGUGGGGUGUGUGGGAACUCUCUGAUAUCUCCACAGCUGAUCUGUAAACCUAAAUUCAUUCUAAACUAAAAAUGUUACCUAAAAA
rnacentral:lncRNA from 1 species